rnacentral:tRNA from 1 species
GGCUCCAUAGUGUGGUUAACAUGUCUGCUUUACAUACAGAAGGUCCUAGGUUAGCACCCCAGGUGGAGCCG